GGGCACUUAGCUCAGCGGUAGAGCGCUUCGUUUACAUCGAAGAUGUCGGGGGUUCAAGUCCCUCAGUGCCCA
rnacentral:tRNA from 1 species